UACGUAGGGGGCAAGCGUUGUCCGGAAUCAUUGGGCGUAAAGAGCGCGUAGGCGGUCCGAUAAGUCGGCUGUGAAAGUCAGGGGCUCAACCCUUGAAAGCCGGCCGAUACUGUCGGACUAGAGUUCGGAAGAGGCGAGUGGAAUUCCCCGGUGUAGCGGUGAAAUGCGCAGAUAUCGGGAGGAACACCAAUGGCGAAGGCAGCUCGCUGGGACGUGACUGACGCUGAGGCGCGAAAAGCGUGGGGGAGCAAACAGG
rnacentral:rRNA from 1 species